rnacentral:rRNA from 1 species
GGCCAGACUCCUACGGGAGGCAGCAGUAGGGAAUUUUCGGCAAUGGGGGGAACCCUGACCGAGCAACGCCGCGUGAACGAAGAAGUUAUUCGUAAUGUAAAGUUCUUUUAUCAGGGAAGAAAGAGGAAUUUGACGGUACCUGAGGAAUAAGCCCCGGCUAACUACGUGCCAGCAGCCGCGGUAAUACGUAGGGGGCGAGCGUUAUCCGGAUUCACUGGGUGUAAAGGGAGCGUAGACGGCCAAGCAAGCCAGGGGUGAAAGCCCGGGGCCCAACCCCGGGACUGCCCUUGGAACUGCAUGGCUGGAGUGCGGGAGGGGCAGGCGGAAUUCCUGGUGUAGCGGUGAAAUGCGUAGAUAUCAGGAGGAACACCGGUGGCGAAGGCGGCCUGCUGGACUGCAACUGACGUUGAGGCCCGAAAGCGUGGGGAGCAAACAGGAUUAGAUACCCUGGUAC